UUAUUACUCCCUCCAUCCCAUAUUGUUUGUCAAAAUAUUACAUGUAUCUAGACCCUUUUUAGGCAUAGAUACAUCCAUAUUUGGACAAAUUUGAGACAAUUAAUAUGGGACGGAGGGAGUAUUAC
rfam:Brachypodium distachyon strain Bd21 chromosome 1, whole genome shotgun sequence.